UACGAAGGGGGCGAGCGUUGUUCGGAUUUACUGGGCGUAAAGGGCGCGCAGGCGGCUCAUUUUGUCAGGCGUGAAAGCCCCGGGCUUAACCUGAGAACUGCGUUUGAUACGGAUGGGCUAGAGUUCGGGAGAGGAGAGUGGAAUUCCCAGUGUAGAGGUGAAAUUCGUAGAUAUUGGGAAGAACACCGGUGGCGAAGGCGGCUCUCUGGACCGAUACUGACGCUGAGGCGCGAAAGCGUGGGGAGCAAACAGG
rnacentral:rRNA from 1 species